rnacentral:tRNA from 1 species
GCCUGGGUGGCUCAGUCGGUUGAGCGGCUGACUUCGGCUCAGGUCAUGAUCUCGCGGUCUGUGAGUUCGAGCCCCGCGUCGGGCU